UGGGAAUAUUGGGCAAUGGGCGCAAGCCUGACCCAGCAACGCCGCGUGAGGGAAGAAGGUUUUCGGAUCGUAAACCUCUGUUGUAGGGGACGAGUAAAAGACGGUACCCUACGAGGAAGCUCCGGCUAACUACGUGCCAGCAGCCGCGGUAAUACGUAGGGAGCGAGCGUUGUCCGGAAUGACUGGGCGUAAAGGGCGCGUAGGCGGUUUUGUAAGUUUGAAGUGAAACCCCCGUUUUCUAAGGCGGGGCCGUGCUUUGAAGACUGCAGGACUUGAGUGAUGGAGAGGAUAGCGGAAUUCCCGGUGUAGCGGUGAAAUGCGUAGAGAUCGGGAGGAACACCAGUCGCGAAGGCGGCUAUCUGGACAUAAACUGACGCUGAGGCGCGAAAGCGUGGGGAGCAAACAGGAUUAGAUACCCUGGUA
rnacentral:rRNA from 1 species